rnacentral:rRNA from 1 species
AGCGAACGCUGGCGGCAGGCCUAACACAUGCAAGUCGAACGAUCCUUCGGGAUAGUGGCGGACGGGUGAGUAACACGUGGGAACGUACCUUUAGGUUCGGGAUAACUCAGGGAAACUUGAGCUAAUACCGGAUAAGCACUUAUGGGGAAAGAUUUAUCGCCGUUAGAGCGGCCCGCGUUAGAUUAGCUAGUUGGUGAGGUAAAGGCGCACGAAGGCUCCGAUCUAUAGCUGGUCUGAGAGGAUGAUCAGACACACUGGGACUGAGACACGGCCCAGACUCCUACGGGAGGCAGCAGUGGGGAAUCUUGCGCAAUGGGCGAAAGCCUGACGCAGCCAUGCCGCGUGAAUGAUGAAGGUCUUAGGAGUGUAAAAUUCUUUUAGCAGGGACGAUAAUGACGGUACCUGCAGAAAAAGCCCCGGCUAACUUCGUGCCAGCCGCAGCAGUAACAC